CCGUCCUUCCGCAGGCCUCAGUCAGCUAGGCCCAGCUCCAGCCCCGCCCGUCACCGGAAGUGAGGCGGCGGAAGUAGCAUGACCCGCUGGGAACCAGCCGGCGGGGCGCUGUGGGUUGGCGGGCUAGUGGGAUGGCAGAUGAGGAAGAAGACCCCACCUUUGAGGAAGAAAAUGAAGAAAUUGGAGGAGGUGCAGAAGGUGGACAGGG